rnacentral:rRNA from 1 species
UACGUAGGGGGCAAGCGUUGUCCGGAUUCAUUGGGCGUAAAGAGCGUGUAGGCGGCCAGGUAGGUCGGUUGUGAAAACUGGAGGCUCAACCUUCAGAGGUCGACCGAAACCAUCUGGCUAGAGUCCGGGAGAGGAGAGUGGAAUUCCUGGUGUAGCGGUGAAAUGCGCAGAUAUCAGGAAGAACACCAGUGGCGAAGGCGGCAUCCUGGACCGACACUGACGCUGAGGAGCGAAAGCCAGGGGAGCAAACGGG